rnacentral:rRNA from 1 species
CCUACGGGUGGCAGCAGUGGGGAAUCUUGGACAAUGGGCGCAAGCCUGAUCCAGCCAUGCCGCGUGAGUGAUGAAGGCCUUAGGGUUGUAAAGCUCUUUCGACGGGGACGCGGUACCCGUAGAAGAAGCCCCGGCUAACUUCGUGCCAGCAGCCGCGGUAAUACGAAGGGGGCUAGCGUUGUUCGGAAUUACUGGGCGUAAAGCGCACGUAGGCGGAUGUCUAAGUCGGGGGUGAAAGCCUUGGGCUCAACCCAAGAAUUGCCUUCGAUACUGGAUGUCUUGAGACCGGGAGAGGUGAGUGGAAUUCCGAGUGUAGAGGUGAAAUUCGUAGAUAUUCGGAAGAACACCAGUGGCGAAGGCGGCUCACUGGCCGGUCUGACGCUGAGGUGCGAAAGCGUGGUGAGCAAACAGGAUUAGAUACCCUUGUAGUC